rnacentral:rRNA from 1 species
UACGAAGGGGGGCUAGCGUUGUUCGGAAUCACUGGGCGUAAAGCGCACGUAGGCGGAUGUGUCAGUCAGGGGUGAAAUCCCGGAGCUCAACUUCGGAACUGCCUCUGAUACAGCACGUCUUGAGUCCGGAAGAGGUGGGUGGAAUUCCUAGUGUAGAGGUGAAAUUCGUAGAUAUUAGGAAGAACACCGGUGGCGAAGGCGGCCCACUGGUCCGGUACUGACGCUGAGGUGCGAAAGCGUGGGGAGCAAACAGGAUUGAGAAACCCUU